CCUACGGGAGGCAGCAGUGGGGAAUAUUGCACAAUGGGCGAAAGCCUGAUGCAGCAACGCCGCGUGAGCGAUGAAGGCCUUCGGGUCGUAAAGCUCUGUCCUCAAGGAAGAUAAUGACGGUACUUGAGGAGGAAGCCCCGGCAAACUACGUGCCAGCCGCCGCGGUAAUACGUAGGGGGCUAGCGUUAUCCGGAAUUACUGGGCGUAAAGGGUGCGUAGGUGGUUUCUUAAGUCAGAGGUGAAAGGCUAGGGCUCAACCGUAGUAAGCCUUUGAAACUGGGGAACUUGAGUGCAGGAGAGGAGAGUGGAAUUCCUAGUGUAGCGGUGAAAUGCGUAGAUAUUAGGAGGAACACCAGUUGCGAAGGCGGCUCUCUGGACUGUAACUGACACUGAGGCACGAAAGCGUGGGGAGCAAACAGGAUUAGAUACCCGUGUAGUC
rnacentral:rRNA from 1 species